CCGACGGUGAGAGACGAAAGCUGCGGGAGCAAACCGGAUUAGAUACCCGGGUAGUCCCAGCCGUAAACGAUGUGCGUUAGGUGUAUCGGUGACCACGAGUCACCGAGGUGCCGAAGAGAAAUCGUGAAACGUACCGCCUGGGAAGUACGGUCGCAAGGCUGAAACUUAAAGGAAUUGGCGGGGAGCACCACAACAGGUGGAGCCUGCGGUUUAAUCGGACUCAACGCCGGGAAACUCACCAGAUAAGACAGCUGAAUGAUAGUCGGGCUGAAGACUCUACUUGACUAGCUGAGAGGAGGUGCAUGGCCGUCGUCAGUUCGUACUGUGAAGCAUCCUGUUAAGUCA
rnacentral:rRNA from 1 species